rnacentral:lncRNA from 1 species
CACCUUCCACAGCCAGCAGCGUGGACGGCAGAUUACAAGAUUCUGUGGAUUCCAGAGGCAUCUGCCCAGCAGACUGUCUUGCUGUGAACACCCAGCUCUGCAACCGGUGUUUGCGUGUUUGCCCUGGGAGGCUGAACGCUCACCCAGAACAAAGGCCUCCCCACAUGCCUGCUGUGAGCUUCCAAGGACUCGUUAGGACACACGCCAAGGAACCCCGGGUGGGGGUGAUACCGAGGAGCUUCCUCCCUGACCCACACACACCCUUUGAAGAGGUCUUUGGCUGCUCACCAGUCUGGUCAAUCUCGGGGCAGUAUUUAUAUUCCUUCCCGUUUCCAGGCCUAGGAGCCUUGGCAUCCUGCUCUCGCCUCUAACUGAAAUUACCUCUCAACCCUUUUUAGCUAAGAUGCCUCUCGCAUUCCCCAGGAAUAACAAGCUUUAAAGCCCCUUCACACUGAAGCCUGCCUUUGAAUUCCCCAGCUAGAUUUGGGGGUGGGGGUCUUAUGGCUCCCGGUGAACCCCCGGUUCUGUUGAUUAAAUUGAGCUC